UACGUAGGGGGCAAGCGUCGUCCGGAAUUAUUGGGCGUAAAGCGCGCGCAGGCGGUCGCUUAAGUCUCAUGUUUAAACCCGGGGCUCAACCCCGGGUCGCAUGGGAAACUGGGUGACUUGAGUGCAGGAGAGGAAAGCGGAAUUCCACGUGUAGCGGUGAAAUGCGUAGAGAUGUGGAGGAACACCAGUGGCGAAGGCGGCUUUCUGGCCUGUAACUGACGCUGAGGCGCGAAAGCGUGGGGAGCAAACAGG
rnacentral:rRNA from 1 species